rnacentral:snoRNA from 1 species
CCAGUUGACGAUGAAGAUCUCACUGAGAAGAUCCUGGACGAACUUGAUGACGAUUAUAGAGAACUGGUGCUUGCAAUUCAAGCAAGAGACAACUCUAUCUCAUUUGAUGAGCUUCAUGAGAAGCUGUUAACAUUUGAAG